GCCCAUUAACAUAAUUGCAGAGAGAUCAGCAGCCUUGGCUUAAGUAGUGGUCCAAAGUCGGUAAAUAAAACCCAAUUGUCUUCACAUCUUUUGAAGGAAUUAACCCAAAUAAAGAAAUAAAUAAGAGUAAUUGAAGCCAAUAGGGUUUUAAAAAGGGGACCAACAUCAUCAAUUAAAAUAGAGGGGCGUGAAAAGCCGACUUGGAGAAAAGAAGGAGCAGCGGCACUUGGAGAAAAAAGGAGCAUCAACUUUGAUUUAUUUUCCCUUUUAAUGGUACAAAAUAGUUUAUUGUUAUUUUCUUUUCUUCUAGCAAUUCAUGAGUUCUUUGAUUUUGAAUAGUAAUGAGAAUAUUGUUUCUGAUUUUGAGUUGUUUAGAUAUUGUGAUUCAAAACUUAUUUAUUAUUAUUUUUAUUCCCUCUUCUUCUUAAAUUAAUUGGUACAUUCAAGUGAGUAAUCUGUUUAGUUAAUUAUGCAUUAUAUUAUUAUAUUUUGUGUUCUAAUUUUGAGCAUGCGAGGCUAGAUUAUUUUCUAGGGUUGAGAAUGAAUAUAACUGAUUGAUUCCGUUGCACAUAUUCAUGUCGAUUUAUUCUACCAAUUUAGUGCUUUCGCGUUAAAAAAUAAUUCUUUCUAUUGGAUUUCUAUUUUUAUUGAUAAAAAAUAAGGUUGGAUUCUUAUUAUUAUUUUAUGGGAUUCAAUUUAUAAUUUGUUAAAAGCGGAUAUAAACUGUGUUUUGAUGAAAAUAAUGAGUGUUUUGAUUUUAUACAUAUGUUUGGCUAAUGGAAGAAUUAACAAUCCGAUUUUACAAAUUAAUUGGACUUAAUUUAUUUUAUUUUCCGCAUCUAAUAAAGUCGAGAGACCAAAUUAGUGCAAGAUAAAAAAGUAGAGUUUAUCAGGCAUGAAUAUUAGGAAGAUGAUAUCAAUUAUAUGAUUCCGCUACCCUAGUAUUUUAUCAUUGAUUAUUUUAUUUGCCUAUUUUUAGUUGAUAAAAAUUCCCUCAAAAUUUCUAAGCUAGAUUAGGAAUUUAUUAGAAUUAGUGAGUGAGAUAAACACGUUUCAUCUGUUAAGUCCUUAGGGUUUGACCUCGCACUUGUAAGCUAUACUAAGUAUUCGAUUAGUGCACUUGCGAGUAUAUAAAACAUUCACAACAGAUGUUGCACCUAACAAAAAGGGAUUGAUACACAUCAUGUUUGACUCUGUAGAGACUCUAAAUGCUCUCGAGUCUGAUGACCUCUCAAUAGAAAACUAAAAGAGUUCAUAGAGCUUGGAGAGGAGGAAGGGGGCAUAAAAUAUAGAAAAAUUGCUUAAUUUUGUAGGUUGAAUAUGAAUUAUCAUAAUAUUUGACUUUUAGGGCAUGUUGGACGACGGACAAGAAAUAGCUAUGAAGAGGCUCUCUAAGAAUUCGAGCCAAGGACUAGAUGAGUUCAAGAAUGAAGUUUUAUGUAUUGCCAAACUUCAUCACAGAAAUCUUGUGACGUUUUUCGGGUGCUGCACUAAAAAAAGGGGAAAAGAUAUUGAUCUACGAAUACAUGUCCAACAAACGUUUAGAUCAUUUUAUUUUAGGUAUGGCCCCUCCUAAAAUGUUGAUACAUAAUUUAAACUUUUGGAUAGUUUGAAAAAUUAAAUAGUGUAAUCAUGUUAUUUCCCUUAGGCACUAUCCCUUAUAUCAUCCAUCUUCACUAUAAUAUAAAUAUGACAAUUGACUAGUCGGCACCUAUAGGAAGAUGAUUACCUAAUUUUUGCUCUCUUUCUGAACCUGGAAUUGGCCAAGCUGUAUGUCAUUGCGUAGCUUUCGGAAAGAGUUUUUCGAAAUGGUAUAACGCGUCUCCUAAUUUUUCUCGGAUUGAAAGUUGUGGACAUUUUAGAGCGUGCAACACGAAAAGCCGACUACACUACACAAAAACCGAGGCAGGUGGGCCCCACCCAAGCAAGCCGCAGGUUGACUAGUAGCUAGGCCCGUGGCUUAUAUAAGGCAGUUUUCAGCCAUUUUUGUAAAAGAAAGAAAGAAAAAAGAGAAAUUUGAGCAAAAAAGAGAAUUUUAGAGAGAAGUGGGAGAAUCUUAGAGAGAGAAAAUCCAAAUUCAAUCUAGAUUUAAUAUUGGAAACUGAUAUUUCCCCAACAAAAUCGUAGCUAUAGAUCAUAUUGCGACAUUUUUAUUGUGAAAAUAUCAAAAAGUGUUGUGAAAAUAUCAGUUUCCUUAUUAUAUUACAUCAAAUUUUUAGUUAAAUUCUUAUAUCAUUGUCAUCAUCCUCAUGUUUAUAUUUUUUGAAAGUCAUCUGUGGCCUGUAGUGCAUACAUGGACUUGGUAUGAUUAUGACCAAGGAUUAUUCGGUAUAAUCAUGACCGUAAUGUUACAAAUGAUGUGAUAAAAGUCCCCAUUGGCCCGUAGUGCAUUGAUGGACAGUUGUUGACAUGAUCAUGACCAUUGAUGAAUACAUGAAUAUCCUUGGCCCGUAGUGCAUGGAUAAUUUGUGGUCGUGACCCUAAUGAAUAUCCUUGGCCGUAGUGCAGGGAUGAUGUGGAUUAUUUAUUAAGCUGAGUCUCAGCGAUAAAAGUGAUGAAAAACUUUUUAAAUCAUAAAAGAUAGUAGAUUUUAUUCUCUACUUGACUCUUUUAAUGGAUUGCUUAUUCCGCUGCAGUUAAACUUGUUGUCUAUUGUAUUUUAUCAGUUUAACAUUGUUGAAGGCUAAUGAUAAUUUAUCCUGCAUUAUCUUAGUCAUAAUAUUUCUUACUGGGCUAGUUGAGCUCACCCUUUCUUUCACUAUUCUCUUCAGGAAAUGAGAACGUAACAGGGACUAGUCAGGGAACGGAGUGAUGGUCCAGAUGAUAGCAUUAGUAGUCCUCACUAUUCUAUGAAAUAGUGUGAUAAUUAUUGUAAUGAUGACUUAUUCUGAGAGUGGAUAUUGUCUAGAAGACAAUAUUUGUAUUAAAACUCACAGCUUUUGUUGUAUAUUUAAGAUUGUAUUUAUAUUCUGUACCAUGUAUCUGGCGACCCAAGAUGGGUGAUGUAUACCUAUUUUGGGGGCGUCACAUUUAUCCUUUCGUGAGACUCUUGUUCUUUCAUUUAUAGAGUUUUUCAUACAUAUAUGUGAGAGACAAUUGAAGUUGAAUACAUUUACUCUUUAUAGCCCACAUGUAAUGAGAGCAUUUACACUCUAUUCUUGAGUGUUUCAUUUAUUGAGUGUAUGUCAAGUGAGGAGUUGAG
rnacentral:lncRNA from 1 species